rnacentral:rRNA from 1 species
GAUCAUGGCUCAGGAUGAACGCUAGCUACAGGCUUAACACAUGCAAGUCGAGGGGCAGCAUGUUGGUUGCUUGCAACCAAUGAUGGCGACCGGCGCACGGGUGAGUAACGCGUAUCCAACCUACCCUUGUCCAUCGGAUAACCCGUCGAAAGGCGGCCUAACACGAUAUGCGGUUCACAGCAGGCAUCUAACGUGAACGAAAUAGUAAGGAGAAGGAUGGGAGUGCGU